GGGGCUUGCUGAGAAAAGUGAUAUUAACAAACAUGCAGGUAUCACUUUUCAUAACAGACCUACUAGCUAUCUGUGAAAAGUGAUAAGUGAUAUUAACAAACAUACAAGUAUCACUUUUCAUAGCCUC
rnacentral:snoRNA from 1 species